CGGAAUUGGAGCAGGAGCCCGGGGCGGCGGGCGGCUGCUCGCUGCCUCCCCUUCCCUUUUUCUUUUACAAGCAGAGGCGGGAAGGCUGAGGAACUUCUUGAGGCUCUUUGGUAAUGACACAGGAAGAGCCGAGGAAAAGGCCCGGGAGGGGCCAGCCCCCUCCCCCCGCCCCCUCUCCUGGCUCAGGGCCUCUCUAGGCUAGGGGCCUGUGCUGGGCACUGAGCACUGGGGCCUGGAAAGAAAGGAAGUUAAGGCGGAGGCGUCUGCUCUGAAGAUGCACCAGCUGCUGCAGAGCCACAUCCCCAGCCAGGGACAGCAGGUUCAUCAGCAGGAAAGUGGAGAGCACGGGGGUCUCCUCUGGAGGGGAGAGGAAAGACAGGGAGGAAAAGACACAGAAGCAUGACGGAGGAACAGCGCUCCAGAGGCGUGCAGGGGACCUUCUCAGUUGCCCGCUCCCAAAGCAGUUGGGUCACUGAUGGUUUCAAUUCAUCCUUCUGCACAAACUCACAGAGCUGAAGAAAAAAGAAAAGCAGGCUAAAAGGGGCUUGGACCGAAAGGUAGAAUAUGGGAUCCCGUGGUCAGUCACCACCACCAGGCUCUUCUCUUGCCCAGCCCGGAGGGAACUGUGGCUGGCAGUCAUGUUCCCGCCGGUGGGAGCUCGUGGUCAGCGCCACCUCCACCUUUGCCUCCAUAAU